GAUGCACCUAGUAUCUUUUCUUUUGAGAGGGAAGCUAAAACAAUUUCUGCCAACUUUUUACUUCUUAGUUCAAUAGGCAGAGAAUUGAUAUAUUUUGAUAAAUUUUUAUUCGCCUAAAGUGUUAAAUUUUUUCAUGGUGCAGUGUUGCUCCUGGAGGCAAAACAACUUAUGUUGCUGCCUGCACUGAUGAAAAAUAGUGCUAUGUAAUCAUUGCGCAGUUAAUCGUGUUGUAUUCCUUGUGCAGGGAUUCAUUUUCUCUACAAUGCAUCCAUACUUCUGGAUAUAGAUGGGAGAAUGAACAUGAAUACAUUUGGCUGCCCUGGUGUUAAUUAUCUCCAUUUCCUUGUAAAAGAAUUCAUUUAUUUUCAGUUUCUAUCCUGCUAUUUUUUAAUGCAUUAUACCAAAAUAUUCUGGAUUGAUCGUUCUAUUUUACUAUUCACUCAUAUACAUCAUUCUCGAUCAAAAAGUUGAAAAUUUAAUGUUUAGAUUUUCAAGUAUUGAUCCAGGCUGUGGAAUAACUAGUUGAAAAUAAACCUCCUGAAAAGAUGACUUUGAAUCAGCUUGCAUGGUUAUAUUCAAUCAUGUUAACUGCAGCAGUGGUAAAACUCGCCCUGUGGCUUUACUGCAAAAGCUCAAGGAAUGACAUUGUUCGCACCUAUGCAAAGGUGAUGGUGUUGUUACCAAAGGACAGGGCUAUGGAAUUUGUAGUAUUCGUGUGGAUGGUAAUGAUGCUCUUGCUAUUUUCACCGCUGUCCAGGAGGCACGAAAAAUAGCUGUUAAUGAACAUAAACCUGUUCUAGUUGAGGUAAACUGCACUCUUUUUGAUAUUGAGGCUUAUGCUAGCUGUGGAAGUGUCGUUAACUGCUUUCUUUAUGUUCAACAGGCUCUCAGGAAGCAGGUAAAUUCUACUCACAGAAGAACUUUUUAAGUUCAUUGUUGCAUGUAUAGCUUUCUAGUGCAGAAUUCUAAGUAUUCUAGACACAUAUCAUCAGUAUAUGCUACUAGAAAACAUAGACAACUUGUUGUGCUAGGAACUGAGAUGGACUUAAAUAAACUCUCGAAAAUACCUGCUCUUAUUUUUGAAAUUAAACACCUGUUCUCAACUUAAACUCUUAAAUAAACUCUUGAAAUUAAACAUAUGUGGCCUGCAAUUGGGUCCAAUUAAGUUCUGAUCAUGCGGCGUUUGGACCACAAUCCAACAGUUGAUUUUUUCUACAUAAUAGUGUUUUUCUUUCUUGCAGUCAAGACUCUAGGCAAAGAAGAAUGCUGGUGCGGAUAAGAGACAUCAAUAUAAAGGUAAGGUGGUUUUUAAAGGAAACAUUAAGUGGAUCUAUUUGUGUUAUACAACAACAUAGUAUGUUAUUCAACUAGAGAAGAUCAUAGUUCAACUCACAAAUCAUCAAGGAUAUAAAUAAUAAUGUAUAUUGUGAUCGAGGAUGUCGCAAAGCCUAGAUUAAGCAUGGAGUCAGUCUAUUUCUCGAAGGGAACAUGAUGAAAAUUUGCGUGUACUAUAA